GUGACGAUGCCACUAGCGAUCCGCCGGUGGAUUUUUAGCCCUGGUGGGUAGCUUCCCGGAAACGAAAGUCUUCCGGUUCCGGGGGAAGUAUGGUUGCAAAGCUGAAACUUAAAGGAAUUGACGGAAGGGCACCACCAGGAGUGGAGCCUGCGGCUUAAUUUGACUCAACACGGGGAAACUCACCCGGCCCGGACACCGUAAGGAUUGACAGAUUGAUAGCUCUUUCAUGAUUCGGUGGUUGGUGGUGCAUGGCCGUUCUUAGUUCGUGGAUCGAUUUGUCUGGUUUAUUCCCAUAACGAGCGAGACUCUAGCCUACUAAAUAGUAACGAGAUUAUCAAUGUCUCAAUUGCUUCUUAGAGGGAUUUUCGGUGUUUAGCCGCACGAGAUUGAGCAAUAACAGGUCUGUGAUGCCCUUAGAUGUCCGGGGCUGCACGCGCGCUACACUGGCGAAAUCAGCGUGCUGUAUCCAUUCUCGAAAGGGAUUGGGUAAACCCAUGAAAAUUUGCCGUGCUUGGGAUCGGAAAUUGCAAUUAUUUUCCGUGAACGAGGAAUUCCAAGUAAGUGCGAGUCAUCAACUCGCUCUGAUUACGUCCCUGCCCUUUGUACACACCGCCCGUCGCUGCCCGGGACUGAGCCAUUUCGAGAAGAUCAGGGACUGGUGGACUGUGGCCUUUUCGGAGGUCCUGUUCGCUGGAAACUGAUUUGAUCGCAGUGGCUUGAACCGGGCAAAAGUCGUAACAAUGUAUCCCGUAGGUGAACCUGCGGAACGAUCAA
rnacentral:rRNA from 1 species